UACGAGGGGGGCGAGCGUUGUUCGGAAUUAUUGGGCGUAAAGGGUGCGUAGGCGGUUUGGUAAGUCUUGUGUGAAAUCUCCAGGCUCAACUUGGAGUCUGCACGAGAAACUGCCGGGCUUGAGUGUGGGAGAGGUGAGUGGAAUUCCUGGUGUAGCGGUGAAAUGCGUAGAUAUCAGGAGGAACACCUGUGGCGAAAGCGGCUCACUGGACCACAACUGACGCUGAUGCACGAAAGCGAGGGGAGCAAACAGG
rnacentral:rRNA from 1 species